UAAAGAGUUUGCAACACAGGGGAGAUUCGUACAGCCGGCCAUCGCCAUCCCCUGCCAAAUUUAGACCACCGCAAUCGGCACCCGUCAAAGUUAAAUAUGAUCAAACGUCCCAGAGGUAUUAAGAUACGGAGAUAGAGAUCGGCGCUCCUCCGACGAAAGGUGGCCUAUAAAUUGAUGGUUAUGCAUGAAGGAUGUUUGGAAGCGAAGUUUCAGUCUAUUGAAAGACCUAAAGGAAACCAAUCAGCAGAAAGCUGAUGUUCAUCAUGUCAGGCAGCUUCAACUUUGUGGUCAUGCCACAUUGGCUGCUGCACACACAAUCUUUAAAUGUAUUCUACAGUGUGAAACUCAAAGAAUAAGAGGUGUUCUCCAACCAAACAUGAUCUACUAAAUGUGUUAGGACAUAUGUGAUUCACUUGUUAGGAACAUAUGUCACUAUUUUAUGUAAUUGGCUAAUCUUUUGACAAAACGCACUUUACUUAUAUUUGGAUAGAUCUAGGAUGUGUUUAAUACUUCAAGAAACUGUAUUUCAAGAUCAAGUGUUGAAGACAUGCAAGUUUGUCCAAAAUUCAAGCUAAAGAAGUGUUGUU